rnacentral:rRNA from 1 species
UACGUAGGCAGCAAGCGUUGUUCGGAGUUACUGGGCGUAAAGGGUGCGUAGGUGGCUCUAUAAGUAUGGUGUGAAAUCUCCCGCUUAACUGGGAGGGUGCGCCGUAGACUGUGGGGCUAGAGUGUGGGAGAGGAAAGUGGAAUUCCUGGUGUAGCGGUGAAAUGCGUAGAUAUCAGGAGGAACACCGGUGGUGUAAACGGCUUUCUGGACCAUAAACUGACACU